AUGAGCGACGCCGCGUGUGUGAAGAAGGCCUGCGGGUUGUAAAGCUCUUUUAGUGGGGACAAAAAGCUACGGGCUAAUACCCUGUGGUCUUGAUUUAACCCUGACAAAAAGCACCGGCUAACUCUGUGCCAGCAGCCGCGGUAAUACAGAGGGUGCAUAGCGUUAAUCGGAAUUACUGGGCGUAAAGCGUGCGUAGACGGUUAUCUAAGUCGGAUGUGAAAUCCCCGGGCUCAACCUGGGAAUUGCAUUCGAGACUGAAUAGCUUGGGUGCGGAAGAGGGAAGUGGAAUUUCCUGUGUAGCGGUGAAAUGCGUAGAUAUCGGAAGGAACAUCAGUGGCGAAGGCGGCUUCCUGAUCCAUGACCGACGUUCAGGCACGAAAGCGUGGGGAGCAAACAGGAUUAGAUACCCUGGUAGUCCACGCCAUAAACGAUGAGAACUAUGACGUUGAGAGGGUUAUUCUCCCAGUGUCCAAGCUAACGCGAUAAGUUCUCCGCCUGGGG
rnacentral:rRNA from 1 species